rnacentral:rRNA from 1 species
CGGGUGAGUAACGCGUGGGUAACCUGCCUCAUACAGGGGGAUAACAGUUAGAAAUGACUGCUAAUACCGCAUAAGCGCACAGAAUCGCAUGAUUCGGUGUGAAAAACUCCGGUGGUAUGAGAUGGACCCGCGUCUGAUUAGCUAGUUGGUGGGGUAAGGGCCUACCAAGGCGACGAUCAGUAGCCGACCUGAGAGGGUGAUCGGCCACAUUGGGACUGAGACACGGCCCAAACUUCUACGGAAGGCAGCAG